AGUUUUGUGUAGUGGCAGUAUCAUAGCCAAGGAAUUUUAUCCAAGGCAUGAUUAUUACUGAUUAAAAACUUUUCCCACCUCAUAAAGC
ensembl:snRNA U4 U4 spliceosomal RNA